AUAUAUAGCCUUUAAUGCUAGUCCAUAUAAAAGGUAAUUAUUUUUGUUUUUAUUUGCAGGAAAACGAAGGAGAACCUAACGUUCCGCACUCCUGGCGCACUGGUGACUGUGGCCACUCUGAAGGGCUCUGAGGGGGUCCGGCAGACCCAGACCCGCUGCCUAUUCCUCAAAGCGGAAGGAUGCAGUUAUCUCUGCACUGUGGGAAACAGCAGGCCAACUGGAUCCAGAGCUGCAGGUUCACAGUUAAAUCUGAAUCCGGCCGAAAGGUCAGCGGGUGACACGUACAGCUUUGGCCGAGGAAGACGGGUGAGUGAAGAUGACGGAGCUCGCCAGGUCAAACCACCGGUUGUCCGGAAGUGGAGAAAGUCAAGUAAAGUGGUGAAAUCCUCCGAGAAAAGCUCAGCAGCUGAGAGUAGAGAUGAACAUGGACAAGGGGCUAAAAGGGAUUUCAGCUCACAGGUUGAUGCAUCAAAAACUGCAGAGUAUGCCGUAACAGCAUGUCUGAAGGCUAAACACAAGCAUGCAGCUUACAGCACACAGCCAGGAACUGUAAACAAGAACACUGCUGGCAUCAAGAAGGUUAACAAUGACGAGACUCACCUGCACAGGUGCGAAGGAGACACCUCUGCUGAAACUAGUUCCAGUGCAGUGCAGGAAGUGCCCAGACCUUGCAAAGACAGCGCAGAGGAGGCCACAGCUAACAUUAAACAUAAGAGUGACCUUGCAGAUGUAAAUCUGAACCACAUUGUGACCAAGGGCAUGCAUUUUGGCAGUGAUGUGCCAAAACCCAAAGAGUACAGGCCAGAGGAACUGGAUAACAUAGCUAACAUAGUUAAUGUAUCCAGACUUCCCUCAGAUGACACUGAGGGGUCCAGAAUAGACAAAGACUCAUCUAAAAGUAACAAUGAGGUGGUCAUCCUUUCUGAAGGAAUGGAGGAAGCUGAAGGCCUUGACAUGGCCAUCACCAAGAGUGUCUUGGAGAAUCCUGGUCAUGAUCAUGAACUUGCAGGAGUGGAGAACGUAUCCAAGGCCACAGUAGGCAAAGACUCACUAAACAUUGAGAAGAACCAGCCUGAGGUGGACAUACAGUCUGAAAAAAUGGGAAAAGAUGAAGCCUUGAACAUAGCUAGGACCAAGACUCCAAAGAAGGAUCUUGGUCAGGGUCAUGACCUUGCAGGAGAAGAGUCUGGAUACAUGGCUGGGACAAACAAAGACUCACUUAAGAAUGAGAAGAACCAGCCUGAGGAGAUCAAAUGGUUUGAGGACAUGGAAAAACAUGAAGGCUUGGACCUGGCUAGCACCAAGAGUCCAAGGAAGGAUCCUGGUCAGAAUCUUGAGCUCUUAGGAAUGGAGAAUGGACCCAAGGCCACGAUGGAUGAAGGCUCACUUAAUACUGAGAAGAACCAGUCUGAGGAGGUCAAAUGGUUUGAGGACAUGGAAAAAGAUGAAGGCUUGGACAUGGCUAGUGCCAAGAGUCCUCUGGGGAAUGCCAGUUAUGAUUAUGACCUUGCAGGAGUGGAGAGUGGAUCCAAGGCCACUGUGGAUAAAGACUCACUUAAAAAUGAGAAGAACCAGUCUGAAGAGGUCAUGCAUUGUAAGGAAAUGGAGAACAUUGAAGACUUGAAGAUGACCAGUGCCAAUAGUCCAGUGGAAGAUCCCUGUCAGAGUCAUGCCCUAGCAGUGAUGGAGACUGGAUUCAAGGCCAAGAUGGAUGAAGAGUCACAUAAAAGGGAGAUUGGCCAGUCUCAGGUGGUCAUCCAUUCUCUUCAAACGGAGAAGGAGGAAGCCUUGAGCAUGGCCAGCACCAAUAGUUCAGUGGAGGAUCCUGGUCAGGGUCAUGACCUUGUAGGAAUGGAGACUGGAUUCAAGGUCAGGAAGGACAAAGACUCACUUAAAAGUGAUACUGACCUGUCUGAGGUGGUCAUCUACAAUAAUAGAAUGGAGAAAGGUGAAUCCUUUAAUAUGGCCAGCACCAAGGGUGCACUGAAAGAUGCUGGUCAGGCUCGUGACCUUGCAAUGAUGGGCAAAGACUCUAUUAAAAAUGAGAAUAUCCAGUCUGAGGUGGUCAUCCAUUCUCUUCAAAUGGAGAAGGAGGAAGCCUUGAGCAUGGCCAGCAUCAAUAGUCCUGUGGAGGAUUUUGGUCAGGGUCAAGACCUUGCAGGAAUGGACAAUGGAUCCAAGGCCAUAAUAGUCAAUGACUCACUUAAAAUUGAGAAGAACCAGCCUGAGGUGGUCAUAAGGACUAAGGAAAUGGAGAAAGACAGUGAUGAAUCCUUGGACAUGACCAGCACCAAGAGUCCAGUAGAGGAUCCUGGUCAGGGUCAUAAUCCUGCAGGAGUGGAAAAUGAGAAUAGCCAAACUGAGGCCGUCAACCAUUCUCUUCAAAUGGAGAAAGAUUAUGUUGAAUCCUUGGACACAGCUAGGACUUGUCAAGGUCGUGAUCCUACAGGAGUGGAGAAUGAAUUCAAGGCCAGGAUGGACAAAGACUCACUUAAAAGUGAGAAAAUCCAGUCUAAGGUGGUCAUCUACACGGAAGAAAUGGAGAAAGAUGACCCCUUGGACGUUGCCAACACCAGGAGUCCUCGGGAGGAUCCUGGUCAGGGUCAUGUAGAACCACUGGAGGAACACUGUCCACCUCAGCAGAUGGAAGUAAACAGUGGUUGUGAAGAACAGUGGUUUGCUAAAUCUCCAUCACGAGGUUCUCCCAAAGCCUCUGCUGUUGUUGCCACUGCUUGCCUGAUUAAUCCAGCCUUCACUAGCACCUCCAACUCCACCACAGCCAUAGCAACAGCCCCUCCAGCCCGCAGCAGGCAGGAAGAGGUGGGGGCUAGCUUUAGGAGCUUAAGGCCUCAGCCUGAAUCCCAGCUUCUGUCAGAGCAGGAGAGAGGCCAGGACUGGAGCAAAGUGGCCACGAACGAAAGGCCUGUGGAGGUGGGUGAGGAAGAGGAGGAUGAGUUUGGGGUCUUUAUGCAGGCCGGGGAGGAGCAGAUAUGGACAGAAGAGUUCAACGAGCUCCAACAAGUGCCUUCUGGGAUGCAUGAUGGCAUUGUGCGGAGUAGUAACAUGUCCUGGGAUGACCCGCAUCAUGGCGCUGCCUGGAGCCAUGGAUUUACUCCUAUUCAGGGCGAACACAGUCGAUCAUUUGCAGAUUUACCAGCAGCUCCGUCAGUCUGA
ensembl:lncRNA